AACGAACGCUGGCGGCAGGCUUAACACAUGCAAGUCGAGCGAGGGCUUCGGCCCUAGCGGCGGACGGGGGGGCAACGCGUGGGAACGUGCCCUUGUCACUGGAAUAGCCCUGGGAAACAGGGAGGAAUGCCGGAUACGACCUCGGGGAAGGGGUGCUCGCGGGGAAGGGUGUUUCGGGGAAGGAUCGGGCCGCGUCGGAUUAGGGCGGUGGUGGGGUAACGGCCUGCCAAGCCGGCGAUCCGUAGCUGGUUUGAGAGGAUGACCAGCCACACUGGGACUGCGACCCGGCCCAGACUCCUACGGGAGGCAGCAGUGUGUAAUCUUGGACAAUGGGGGCAACCCUGACCCAGCCACGCCGCGUGAGCCAUGAAGGCCUUAGGGUUGUAAAGCUCUUUCAGCGGGGAAGAUAAUGACGGUACCCGCAGAAGAAGCCCCGGCUAACUCCGUG
rnacentral:rRNA from 1 species